UACGGAGGGUGCGAGCGUUAUUCGGAUUCACUGGGCGUAAAGAGCGCGUAGGCGGUUUCAUAAGUCUGAUGUGAAAGCCCACGACUUAAUCGUGGAAGUGCAUUGGAUACUGUGAGACUAGAGUAUAGGAGAGGUAGAUGGAAUUCCCGGUGUAGAGGUGAAAUUCGUAGAUAUCGGGAGGAACAACAGAGGCGAAGGCGAUCUACUGGACUAUUACUGACGCUGAGGUGCGAAAGUGUGGGGAGCAAACAGG
rnacentral:rRNA from 1 species